GAGGAAUAUUGGUCAAUGGGCGAAAGCCUGAACCAGCCAUGCCGCGUGCAGGAAGAAGGCCCUAUGGGUUGUAAACUGCUUUUGUUCGGGACGAGCAUGCAUAUGUAUAUGCAAAUGACGGUACCGGAAGAAUAAGCACCGGCUAACUCCGUGCCAGCAGCCGCGGUAAUACGGAGGGUGCAAGCGUUAUUCGGAUUUAUUGGGUUUAAAGGGUGUGUAGGCGGUUUAGUAAGUCAGUGGUGAAAUCGGGAGGCUCAACUUCGCGAGUGCCAUUGAUACUGUUAGGCUAGAGUAUAGUCGGCUUGAGAGGAAUGCGACAAGUAGCGGUGAAAUGCUUAGAUAUGUCGCAGAACACCGAUAGCGAAGGCAUCUCAAGAGGUUAUACUGACGCUGAGGCACGAAAGCGUGGGGAUCAAAC
rnacentral:rRNA from 1 species